rnacentral:rRNA from 1 species
CCUACGGGAGGCAGCAGUGGGGAAUAUUGCGCAAUGGGCGAAAGCCUGACGCAGCAACGCCGCGUGCGGGAUGACGGCCUUCGGGUUGUAAACCGCUUUCAGCAGGGACGAAGGGUUACCUUGACGGUACCUGCAGAAGAAGCACCGGCUAACUACGUGCCAGCAGCCGCGGUGAUACGUAGGGUGCGAGCGUUGUCCGGAAUUAUUGGGCGUAAAGAGCUUGUAGGCGGUUUGUUGCGUCGGAAGUGAAAACUCAGGGCUUAACCCUGAGCCUGCUUUCGAUACGGGCAGACUUGAGGGAUGUAGGGGAGAACGGAAUUCCUGGUGGAGCGGUGGAAUGCGCAGAUAUCAGGAGGAACACCAGUGGCGAAGGCGGUUCUCUGGACAUUUCCUGACGCUGAGAAGCGAAAGCGUGGGGAGCAAACAGGCUUAGAUACCCUGGUAGUCCACGCCGUAAACGGUGGGCACUAGGUGUGGGACCCAGUUCCACGGGUUCCGUGCCGAAGCUAACGCAUUAAGUGCCCCGCCUGGGGAUACGGCCGCAAGGCUAAAACGCAAAGGAAUUGACGGCNGAGACGNGCGACGACGACGACGAGGAGAGG